rnacentral:snRNA from 1 species
UUAUCUUCGGCGGUACAUAUACUAAAAGUGGAACGAUAAAGAGAUUAGCAUGGCUCCUGCGCGAGGAUGACACGCAAAAUCGUGAAGCGUUCCAUAUUUUU